ACCUUGAUAGUCCAGUGGUAAGACUCUGCACUCCCAAUGCAAGAGGCCUGUGUUCAAUCCCUUGUCAGGGAG
rnacentral:tRNA from 1 species